CCAUGUUAUGCCAUUAUUAUAUCACUGUAAUGUCCACAUUAUAUAUAAAUUGUCAUAACCACACUACGUCAUUGUUACAUCAUUGUUAUGUUAUUAUUAUAUCCCGUUUAUGUGAGAAGAAUAAAAAAAAAAGAGAAGAAAAAAAGCUAAAAAAGAAAAUAUAUUUUAAAUUCCCAUUAUAACCUGAUAAAAUUUUAAUCGUCAAAUUAAAAUUGACAAAAUUAAUUAAAGACCAUUAAAUUACUGUUUGAACGAUUCAAGAUAUUGGGCCUCUCAAAUCAUCGACAAUUUCGUC
rnacentral:lncRNA from 1 species